GAUGAACGCUGGCGGCGUGCCUAAUACAUGCCAGUCGAGCGAACGGACGAGAAGCUUGCUUCUCUGAUGUUAGCGGCGGACGGGUGAGUAACACGUGGAUAACCUACCUAUAAGACUGGGAUAACUUCGGGAAACCGGAGCUAAUACCGGAUGAUAUUUUGAACCGCAUGGUUCAAAAGUGAAAGACGGUCUUGCUGUCACUUAUAGAUGGAUCCGCGCUGCAUUAGCUAGUUGGUAAGGUAACGGCUUACCAAGGCAACGAUGCAUAGCCGACCUGAGAGGGUGAUCGGCCACACUGGAACUGAGACACGGUCCAGACUCCUACGGGAGGCAGCAGUAGGGAAUCUUCCGCAAUGGGCGAAAGCCUGACGGAGCGACGCCGCGUGAGUGAUGAAGGUCUUCGGAUCGUAAAACUCUGUUAUUAGGGAAGAACAUAUGUGUAAGUAACUGUGCACAUCUUGACGGUACCUAAUCAGAAAGCCACGGCUAACUACGUG
rnacentral:rRNA from 1 species